UACGUAGGUGGCAAGCGUUGUCCGGAUUUACUGGGCGUAAAGAGCGCGCAGGCGGUCGUUCAAGUCGCGUGUGAAAGCCCCCGGCUCAACUGGGGAGGGUCACGCGAUACUGAUCGACUCGAAGGCAGGAGAGGGAAGUGGAAUUCCCGGUGUAGUGGUGAAAUGCGUAGAGAUCCGGAGGAACCCCAGAGGCGAAGGCGGCGCCCUGGCUCGCAACUGACGCUCAGACACGACAGCAUGGGGAGCGAACGGG
rnacentral:rRNA from 1 species